rnacentral:rRNA from 1 species
GACGAACGCUGGCGGCGUGCCUAACACAUGCAAGUCGAACGGACAGGCCCUGCUCUUGUGGGGUGCUCGAGUGGCGCACGGGUGAGUAACACGUGUGUAUCCUGUCCUUGACUUUGGGAUAACUUCAGGAAACUGCGGAUCAUAUACCAUAGGAGCUCUUGCUGCAUGGUGGGGGUUGGAAAGUUUCGGCGGUUGGGGAUGGACUAGCAGCUUAUCCGCUUGUUUGUGGGGUAGUGGCAUACCAAGGUUUUGACGGGUAGCCGGCCUGGGAGGCUGGCCGGGGACAUGAGGACUAAGAUACGGCGCAGACGCCAACGGGAGGCAACGGGGGAGAACAUUGCAGAGUAGGCGGGAGCCAGUGACGACGACGCCGCGAUCGGAAAGAUCGGCUUCGGGUUGUGAACCGAUGUCGCCGGAGACGAGGCGGGAUUGACGGUAAUGGGUAAAGAAGCACCGGCUAACUACGUG